CGCCUUCACCCCACCCCGCCAGCGGCUGCUGUCGCGAGAACUGCGCUGCGGUGUGUGGCUCAGUGGAUGGCGAGUCCUAACCAACAAACUCCUCUGACGCUACUCUGCUUUUUAAAACCGGGAAAUUGAAGCUGUGAGGAGAGUGACAGUGGAAGAGGGAGACUGACAGAAGAAGUUCCCACCUACCCCAGAGAUGGUGCACAAUGUAGAGCUCUCCUAUCUGUGAGAAGAAGCCGCCCACUGCCUCCUGGUUCUCCUGCCGGUACUUGAUGGCCCGAGCCCUGGAGAAGAGUAUGAGGCAGAAGCCAGAAGAGGUGCAAAGGGCCCCCUAAGGUGAACCAAGGCUGAAUCCCAGGAGGGGCCUGAGGGGAAUUAACAAAAGUACCAUAUGUAUGGAAAUUGACCAAAACAAGAAUCGCCAAUCUGUGGAAAAGGGAUUAACCUAAUACUGGAGGAUCAGCGGAGAAAAGCUACAAGAAUGCAUCACAGGCAAAGAAGAAAAGAAUUACCUUUUUUUUGAGACAGAGUCUCACUUUGCCGCCCUCCAUAGAGCGCAGCUCACAGCAACCUCUAAAUCUUGAGCUCAAGCAAGAUUGCCUCAGCCUCCCAAGUAGCUGGGACUUCAGGUGCCCUGGCUAUUUUUAGAGGCAGGGUCUCAUUCUGGCUCAGUCUAGUCUUGAACCUGUGAGCUCAGACAAUCCAUCCACCUUGGCCUCCCAAAGUGCUGGGAUUACAGGUGCAGGGAUUGAGCUACCCUGCCCAGACAGAAGAAAGAAUUUUUUUUUUUUUUGUAGAGACAGAGUUUUACUUUAUGGCCCUCGGUAGAGUGCUGUGGCCUCACACAGCUCACAGCAACCUCCAACUCCUGGGCUUAAGCGAUUCUCUUGCCUCAGCCUCCCGAGUAGCUGGGACUACAGGUGCCCACCACAACGCCCGGCUAUUUUUUGGUUGCAGUUUGUCCGGGGCUGGGUUUGAACCCGUCACCCUCAGUAUAUGGGGCCGGCGCCUUACCGACUGAGCCACAGGCGCCGCCCAGAAGAAAGAAUUUUCUAAUAAUUAUAGUGGUUCCUAUAGAACAGCAGUUCUCAACCUGUGGGUCACGACCCCUUUUUAACAAUGAAAAUAUACUGUGGCAUUAGGAAGGUUGAGAACCACUGCUAUGGAAGAUGGACCAAUGGUUCUUAUAAGUUUAUUAAAAUGUAGAGUCUGGCUGGGCACAGUGGCUCACACCUGUAAUCCCAGAAUUCUGGGAGAUGGAGGCAGAAUUACUUGAACUCAAAAGUUUGAGAGCAACCUGAGCAAGAGUGAGACCCUAUCAUCAACAAAAAAUAGAAAAAUUAGUCAGGUGUGGUGGCACCCAUCUAUGGUCUCAGCUACUUAGGAGGCUAAGGCAGGAGGAUCUCUUAAGCCCAGGAGUGUGAGGUUGCGGUAAACUAUGAUGAUGCCACUGCACUCUACCCAGGGUGACAGACCAAGACUCUAUCUCAAAAAAAAAAAAAAAAAAGAAUAGUACGGGCUGGAUGUGGCGGCUCACGCCUAUAAUCCCAGCACUCUGGGAAGCCAAGGUGGGUAGAUCACCUGAGCUCAUGACUUUGAGACCAACCUGACCCAGAGGGAGACCCUGUCUCUAAAACUAGCCAGGCGUUGUGGCAGGCACCUGUAGUCCCAGCUACUUGGGAGUCUUGAGGCAAGUGAAUCACUUGAGCCCCAGAGUUUGAGGUUGUUGUGAGCUACAAUGCUAAGGCACUCUACUGAGAGUGACAAAGUGAGACUCUGUCUCAAAAAAAAAAUAAAAAAAAUAGGGCGGCACCUGUGGCUCAGCGGAGUAAGGCGCCAGCCCCAUAUGCUGGAGGUGGUGGGUUCAAGCCCAGCCCCGGCCAAAAACUGCAAAAAAAAAAUAAUAAUAAAUAAAUAAAUAAAAACGAGAUUCCUGAGCUCUACCCCUAGGCUAUGGCUGAAUCUACACAGAGGACUAAACAGCAAUAUAUUCAAAAUGAAAAUGUAUGCCAUGCUUUAAAAGUCAGGAUCCCAUUCCUCAAAGUCCAUUUCACCACUAGCAAACAGUUAAGAGAAUCUAUGGACCACUACUAGAGCUGAUCAAGCUUAAAAUGAGAAAACUGUAGUGGCUGAAACUGAAGGCAAUUUGUUUUUCUCUUCUCUCCUUAUCAACAUGUCAAUGUCUGUUACUAAAACAGAAUAAAUGAUUAAGGAGAUCUAUGUAGGGCACCGGCCACAUACACUCAAGCUGGCAGGUCCGAACCGGGCCCAGGCCAGUUAAAACAACAAUGACAACUGCAACAACAAAAAAAAUAGCCAGGCAUUGUGGUGGAUGCUUGUAGUCUCAGCUACUUGGGAAGCUGAGGCAAGAGAAUCACUUAAGCCCAAGAGUUUGAGGUUGCUGUGAGCUGUGACGCCAUAGCACUCUACCCAGGGUGACAGCUUGAGACUCUGUCUCAAAAAAAUAUAAAUAAAUAAAAUAAAAAAUAAAAUGGCUCUGUGCCCGUAGCACAGAGGUUACAGCAUCAGCCACAUACAUUGAGGCUGGUGGGUUUGAACCCAGCCCGGGCCAGCUAAAUAACAAUGACAAUUGCAACAAAAAAUAGCU